GCGCGGAAGAUGUAACGGGGCUAAACCAUGCACCGAAGCUGCGGCAGCGACACUGUGUGUUGUUGGGUAGGGGAGCGUUCUGUAAGCCUGUGAAGGUGUGCUGUGAGGCAUGCUGGAGGUAUCAGAAGUGCGAAUGCUGACAUAAGUAACGAUAAAGCGGGUGAAAAGCCCGCUCGCCGGAAGACCAAGGGUUCCUGUCCAACGUUAAUCGGGGCAGGGUGAGUCGACCCCUAAGGCGAGGCCGAAAGGCGUAGUCGAUGGGAAACAGGUUAAUAUUCCUGUACUUGGUGUUACUGCGAAGGGGGGACGGAGAAGGCUAUGUUGGCCGGGCGACGGUUGUCCCGGUUUAAGCGUGUAGGCUGGUUUUCCAGGCAAAUCCGGAAAAUCAAGGCUGAGGCGUGAUGACGAGGCACUACGGUGCUGAAGCAACAAAUGCCCUGCUUCCAGGAAAAGCCUCUAAGCAUCAGGUAACAUCAAAUCGUACCCCAAACCGACACAGGUGGUCAGGUAGAGAAUACCAAGGCGCUUGAGAGAACUCGGGUGAAGGAACUAGGCAAAAUGGUGCCGUAACUUCGGGAGAAGGCACGCUGAUAUGUAGGUGAAGUCCCUCGCGGAUGGAGCUGAAAUCAGUCGAAGAUACCAGCUGGCUGCAACUGUUUAUUAAAAACACAGCACUGUGCAAACACGAAAGUGGACGUAUACGGUGUGACGCCUGCCCGGUGCCGGAAGGUUAAUUGAUGGGGUCAGCGCAAGCGAAGCUCUUGAUCGAAGCCCCGGUAAACGGCGGCCGUAACUAUAACGGUCCUAAGGUAGCGAAAUUCCUUGUCGGGUAAGUUCCGACCUGCACGAAUGGCGUAAUGAUGGCCAGGCUGUCUCCACCCGAGACUCAGUGAAAUUGAACUCGCUGUGAAGAUGCAGUGUACCCGCGGCAAGACGGAAAGACCCCGUGAACCUUUACUAUAGCUUGACACUGAACAUUGAGCCUUGAUGUGUAGGAUAGGUGGGAGGCUUUGAAGUGUGGACGCCAGUCUGCAUGGAGCCGACCUUGAAAUACCACCCUUUAAUGUUUGAUGUUCUAACGUGGACCCGUGAUCCGGGUUGCGGACAGUGUCUGGUGGGUAGUUUGACUGGGGCGGUCUCCUCCUAAAGAGUAACGGAGGAGCACGAAGGUUGGCUAAUCCUGGUCGGACAUCAGGAGGUUAGUGCAAUGGCAUAAGCCAGCUUGACUGCGAGCGUGACGGCGCGAGCAGGUGCGAAAGCAGGUCAUAGUGAUCCGGUGGUUCUGAAUGGAAGGGCCAUCGCUCAACGGAUAAAAGGUACUCCGGGGAUAACAGGCUGAUACCGCCCAAGAGUUCAUAUCGACGGCGGUGUUUGGCACCUCGAUGUCGGCUCAUCACAUCCUGGGGCUGAAGUAGGUCCCAAGGGUAUGGCUGUUCGCCAUUUAAAGUGGUACGCGAGCUGGGUUUAGAACGUCGUGAGACAGUUCGGUCCCUAUCUGCCGUGGGCGCUGGAGAACUGAGGGGGGCUGCUCCUAGUACGAGAGGACCGGAGUGGACGCAUCACUGGUGUUCGGGUUGUCAUGCCAAUGGCACUGCCCGGUAGCUAAAUGCGGAAGAGAUAAGUGCUGAAAGCAUCUAAGCACGAAACUUGCCCCGAGAUGAGUUCUCCCUGACCCUUUAAGGGUCCUGAAGGAACGUUGAAGACGACGACGUUGAUAGGCCGGGUGUGUAAGCGCAGCGAUGCGUUGAGCUAACCGGUACUAAUGAACCGUGAGGCUUAACCUUACAACGCCGAAGGUGUUU
rnacentral:rRNA from 1 species